AUACGGAGGAUCCGAGCGUUAUCCGGAUUUAUUGGGUUUAAAGGGUGCGCAGGCGGCCAUUUAAGUCAGCGGUUAAAUCGUGGGGCUCAACCCCAUUCUGCCGUUGAUACUGGGUGGCUUGAUUGCGGUCGAGGUUGGCGGAAUUCGUUGUGUAGCGGUGAAAUGCAUAGAUAUGACGAAGAACACCGAUUGCGUAGGCAGCUGACCAGACCGCAAAUGACGCUCAUGCACGAAAGUGCGGGGAUCGAACAGGAUUAGAUACCCUGGUAGUCCGCACAGUAAACGAUGAAUACUGGUUUUCGGCGAUAUAAUGUCGGAGGCAAAGCGAAAGCGAUAAGUAUUCCACCUGGGGAGUACGCCGGCAACGGUGAAACUCAAAUGAAUUGACGGGG
rnacentral:rRNA from 1 species